ACCCGGUGUUGUUUGUGUCAUUCCUCACAGGUUUCUUAAUUUGCAUACAACUAGAAGUUGAAACUUUCUGCAAGUAGACUCUCAUUUUAGAAAUGGAAUUCUUUCAAGGAGUCAAUCAGGCAUUGGGUCUAUUAUUGGAGUCAUGGACAUUGGUCAACUUUUAGAAAUUCUUGACAUGCUUGUAAAGUGUUUGAGAUUAAGUAUAAUUUUUGCUCAAGUCUUUAUUUUAUUUCUCAGGAAUUUGGCCCGAGUCUGAAAGCUUUAGAGAUGAGGGUAUGGGAGACAUUCCAUCUCGUUGGAGAGGCAAUAUGUCAAGGAGGAGAAAAGUUCAAUCACUCCCAUUGCAAUAGGACAUGGUACUCAUACAUCAUCCACUGCAGCCGGUGGUUUUAUAGAAAAUGCAAGUUUUAUGGGAGUUGCUUUAGGAUUGGCAAGAGGAGGUGCUCCAUCAUCUUGGUUAGCUAUUUACAAAGUUUGUUGGGCUACUGGUGGCUGCAUCAUCUUGGUUAUGUGUUGAAGAACAUCCUCAAGUUGUAAUGUAUGCAAUUGCUCAUGCCCUAGAAGCUGUGAAGUGAAAUAGGCUAGAAAUGUAUUUUUGUGCUCCAAAGUGACAAUUUCAAGUGCAUUUCUUCACUUAUUUUGCUAGUGGAGUUGUAUAGAUGUGCUCCAUAUUUUGGUGUUGGCAUGGAGUAGUACAGUGCUCCUUUUUGGCAAUAUUGUGUAAUACAUUUCAGUAUAAUUAUGUGGAUUAUAACAAUAUUAGAUAUAUAUUGGUAUUUACUAUUCA